UGGGGAAUAUUGCACAAUGGGCGCAAGCCUGAUGCAGCCAUGCCGCGUGUAUGAAGAAGGCCUUCGGGUUGUAAAGUACUUUCAGCGGGGCGGAAGGGAGUAAAGUUAAUACCUUUGCUCAUUGACGUUACCCGCAGAAGAAGCACCGGCUAACUCCGUGCCAGCAGCCGCGGUAAUACGGAGGGUGCAAGCGUCAAUCGGAAUUACUGGGCGUAAAGCGCACGCAGGCGGUUUGUUAAGUCAGAUGUGAAAUCCCCGGGCUCAACCUGGGAACUGCAUCUGAUACUGGCAAGCUUGAGUCUCGUAGAGGGGGGUAGAAUUCCAGGGGUAGCGGUGAAAUGCGUAGAGAUCUGGGGGAAUACCGGUGGUGAAGGCGGCCCCCUGGGCGAAGACUGACGCACAGGUGCGAAAGCGUGGGGAGCAAACAGG
rnacentral:rRNA from 1 species